rnacentral:lncRNA from 1 species
UUCCACAAUAAAUAUCAAGCAAGAAUGAGAUAUCUAAUGAAAUCAUACUAACAAUCAUAUAUGCACAUCCAUAUGCCAUGGCCCACCCACAGAAAGAGUUCAAUCCAAGACACUGAGAACCACACACUACAAUUACAGCAUUUCUCGGAACAUGCAGGCUGCAUUUUGAAAUUGAUUGAAUGUGAACAUAACAGAGUAGGGUGCAUCAUCACCAACAAAAUGGAGCAGACAAAGAACGAAUUGCUCACUGAAUUUUGAAAUUAAUGAAGUUGAACAUAACAGAGUAGGGCGCAUAAUCACCAGCAAAAUGGAGCAGACAAAGAAGGACGUGCAAGAUGAAUGUUGAUAUUACAUGAAGGUGGACAUAGAGAGUAGAGUGAAUCAUCACCAACAAAAUGGAGCAAAACAGAGAAAGACGUGCACACUGAACUCUGAAAUUACAUGAAGGUGAACUGUGAACAUUAAUAGAGUAGGGUGCGACAUCAUCAACAAAAUGGAGCAAACAAAGAAUGCCAGUGUCAUAAAACUACAACCAGAACAUCAAAACUCUAAUCACGUUGAUAUUCUCAUUCCUCUUCAGGGAGCUGAACGGACACUCCUUAAAACUCGCAGACCUACUGACCAAACAGCUAAAUUCAGCAACGGCCAACAAUAUACACCCUAACCUGGGACAGCCUGCCCCGAUAACAAAUACAACGACAUUUGGCAGCACAGCACACUAAAAAUCGCACCACGCUCGACGGUGGAAACAGCAUACACGAGACAGUUUAAGGAG